GUUGCCUUCACCUGUGCCCCCAUGGCUGACUCUGUGCUUGCCUCAGGUGGUCAGUCAGAGGUUCAGGCUGUGAUUCAACAGUUCCCAUACAGAAACUAUUUUCAAAAUAAUACUUCAGGUGAAAGCUAAGAGAUUCUCUUCUGCAGAAAGUUGCUGCUUUCUUCCAGAAGCAGCAUUUCAGCUGAGCUUCUUGCUUCACCUGGAAAUACUUGAAAGGAAAAAUUAUCCUUAUACAGUUUGGCUCUGACCCUGAAAAAUAUUAACGUGACAACCAUAACUUCCUGUAUGUGCAACAAUAGGGACUAACAACACCUGUGAUCUAGCUGUUUCCACACAAAGGUGUAACAGCCUGCCUGGCUCUGCAAAUUUGCAGAAUUACUGGCACGACUACCAGAGGGACGGGUCACCUACUGAAGUCUACUUUGCUAUUUCUAUGUAUGUGUUUUUUAGUCCCUCCAUAAGGUAUGUUUGUGUUUCUGCAGAGCAUAUGACUUUACUGCACUAGUAAAAGCAAAUGGAGGAAGGAGAGCUCUGUGUUCCCUUGCAGCUGUGUUUCCCAAAGCUCUGCAGCCUGCUGUUGAGAAAGCCAGCUUGGUUGCUGUUGCCUGUUUAUAAAACUCUCUGACUUGGCCCUCAUCUCUCCUAUCAUGACUGUAUCAAACGUCCCUUUGGUGGCCUGCUAUCUGCUGAGUGAUGCUCGCAUCCCACAGUUCCUGCCUAAGGCACUGACACCCACUGUCAUAACAGAAACAGUGGUCAGCCUGGCGAGUACGUGGAGAUUUCUGAAUUUGGGUUUAGGUAUCACACACUUGCAAAGGCAUGAUUUCAACCACAGAGCAUCUCCAACACAGUGAAAUGCAAGGUGAGAACACAGACUGGAUUUUCAACAGAAAAUUUUCAUUAGGUGCAGAUUUGCUCAGCUGCUUUGUGAUUUACCACCAGCACAGCAUAUCCUCAGACCCUACCAUGCAGCAUCUUUAAACCUACAGCAAAACAGAAGAUUCUAUUAAAGGGAAAUACUAAGGUCAAUCACCAAAAAAACGUGUAAAUACCCAAAAGCUACAUGUUUGAGAUCAUUUCUUUAAAAACAAUAUACGAUUUUGUGGAGAAUGCGCAGUUAUGAAAGAUUACAGUAGUGAAAACAAGGUGGAUUUUAUCACAGCAGAAAACCACACCAUGGCAUAGGCAGAAGUGAAUUUAGCCCUUCAAGAUCAAGUGUGAUCUUUGGCCAAAUUAUUAUAUUUAACCUCACUGUGAAAAAGAUGUCCUAAAUUAUGAAGACCCUGCUCUGCCCUUGAAUAAGCACAUCAGACACAGACCUCAGUGGGAGGAGUACCGGCUGCUUUUAUGGUCAGGAUUCAGUCGAGAGAAUUAAGCCUUUCUGAAGCAAAACUAAAUUGCAACAGCAAGUGUUGUACUGUCAUUUUAAUGACAGCAGAAGUCUGUAAGUAUGGAAUGAAUCAAUUAUUGCAAGCACAGCCCCUGUGUAAAUCACUGACGGCAAACCAACCCCAGGAUUAUAAAAUGAAUCUGUGACAAGUAUUCAAGGUUUCAGCAUAUUCUCGGUAAUGAGGAUUAAGUACAUACUAUCUGUGAAAGAAAAGUUUUAUUCACUUACUAAAGAAUAUGUGAGUAAUCAUUAAGUGAGGUCAGAUUAACUGAGGUACUUUUUUAAAAAGGGCAUCCAGUACAACAUCUGCUGGAAAAUCAAUGAUAAAUAUGUCAAUUUUUUAGAAAAAGGGAAAGAUUAAGAGUAAAGCAGUGUAAUGGAAUGACUUAAUGCUCUGUUUUUAAAGAAUGGAGAGGAAUUAUAAUGACAUCAUAAACUAUCAUUAUGAAACUUUUUGACAUUUUCAUGUCAAGAAAAAGACUAUUCCCGAAGCAAGAACAAAUAGUGAUUUCUGCUGUCUAUGGGUGAUUCAGUCAAGUUCAAAUAAAUCCUGAUUCUACACUGAGAAAUCAUGAAAAAACUUUUGCACUGUGCCGGCAAACAUUGAAUUUUCUUGUAUUUAAUAUUUUUACAUAAGGACAGGAAUAGAAUACAAAAUUCUAAUUAUAGUUGAGCUGUGAAAAUGGAAAUGUUUUUAAUUUGAAUGUAUGCCACUAACUUCUGGGGAAGCCUUUAUGGUAAAUAUUUCAUAUCACUCUGCUCUCUUUACCAUAACACAAGCAAUAUCUUAUUGUCUUUUUUUUGUUCUGUUCAAUUUCCACAAAAUAAUGUGAAAUUGAGAAGCAGCGUUAUUGUAAUUGUAGACCAACAUCAUUUCAUGAUAGAAAAAGGCAUUGUGUUCUAUCAUCAUUUGUAUUUUAAUUAUUAAUGAACACCUUUGCUUUAACUGUCAGAAUUUUUUAUUAAUGUCUUGUGAUAUUUGCAUACUCUUUGCCUGUAUUUCAGGGGAGAAUGUAGAGCAAAAUAUGUAUUUAUUUCUAGUAUAUUAAUAGGCUUUCACCUGGAAGGUUUUUCUUUUGAAGGCUUUAACAAUUGAUAUCACACUGAUCAAGAGGUGCUUUAUUUACACUGGGAUAAGGGGAUAAAAAAUAAAUGCAAUACUGCUACACUUCAUCAUUAGAAAUCCCCCUAAAUAUCCAGAUUCUGUAAAAUAAUAGAGUAACUUUAGUUGAAAAGAAAAAGAAAUUUCAGUUGCUUGUAAGAAAAUGAUGUGCUUUUUCAUAUGAACUGCUUUAUUUCUCUUGCUUUGUUUUUACUAAAACUGUGUUUCUUUUAUUUGUGUUUGUGUAUGUUUCUUCCUAUUUAUGCCGUGCAUUUUUGGCCCAGUACAGAUCACAGUUCAGUAUUUUCAUUCUGCCCUAAACAGUCAAUUCCUACAAAUUAAUCCAAUAUGUCUAAUUUUUGCAAAGUAUUACCUGGUUUGUUAAAGGAAAAUUUUCUACAAUAGGAUUGAGAAUGUUAAUAAUUCUAAUAGGAAAAACACUAUUGUGUAAUUUUGCAAUAACCAUAUUUUAAUUAAAUCAAACAUUAGUAAGUACAUUUGUAAGCUGUGACAUUUAAAUAAAAUAUGCUUAUACUAGAAAGGAAAACUAUGAAAUACUUACAUCUUCCGUCAAUGUAAAAAUAUGAGGAUGAGCAUUUUAGUUAGGAAAAUAUCUGCAUAUAUAUCUUCUGUAAUUAUUUUUAUUUUUGUUUCUCUUAGAUGCCAAAUACAGUUGAACUACUGAAUUCAAACAUCUUGCUGCUUCUCUCUUAUCAGGAGUUAUCAUAUUCCCUUUGUAUACUUCAGCAGAGCCUUUUUAAAAUUCCCCUUUUCAUUAUUUUGAGGUUCAAAUUGCUGGCUAUAAUUUACAAAAAGGAGGUUUCUCGGUAACUGCUUGCAUAUAGUUUACAAAUUAUUUUAAGGAGUUACAGUGCGUACUUAGAAAGAAGCAUGAAGUGCUAUAUUUAAAGGGCUUACCAGUGUUUUGCAGAAAAGAAAACAGAAGAGAUUCAUGAAAAUGCAUAAGCAUAAACAUUUGUUUCCAUUGUGCAGGCGGAAUGGAGUUUUGCAGUAAAAGUGUGGCAUCUGGUGGUCCAGAGAAGAAAUGGCAGCCCACUCUGAGAAGGCCGAACCAUCUCAUCAGCUUGUAAUAAACUAAUUAUUUCCAGUGUGCAUGUAUGGGAAGAUUCUGGCUUCUGGAUAACCCUGCAGUAUUAAUUGCUGCAUCUUGUUUUGUGUCAUUCCAGCAGAAGGCCUGUAUUUCUUCCCAAAGAGAGAAAUAUUUUCAUUUAUUCAGAACUGUAAUGAGUUUUCAACUUCAGAUGAUGACUCUUGUAACCACCAACAGCAGAUGGGGAAUACCAUUCCCAAAAAGCAGUGCUGGGACAUCUGAAAAUGAAUUAGGAGAAUUUUAGGAUAGCAAAACUCAAGUAUAGUGUGCUAAGAAAGGGGAAUUUCUUCUGUCCUGUGGUGAACCACAUGAAUAUGUCUCCUCACAACUAAAUUCGUGAGAAACCAUUCCUUCUCAACUUGCUUGAAGAGCUGUGAGUUGUCAGAGGUCAUGAAACUCCAUGUGGAGAAGGAGCACAGAAGAAGGGACCUUCAGAAAUCCCAAGUCCAUUCCAUGAUUUAGAUGCAAUCGUUAUAUAAUAGUUUUCAACAAGUGAUAAAAUUCCUCUUCUAAACAAUGAAGUUGUUUGUUUGUUUGUAUGUUUUUGUUCAAAAGACUGCUCCCAAGCAAAAUUUCUUUACAGAAUUAUCUGCUAAGUUUCUGAGGUAUCUUGAGGUUAAACAAUAAUCCACCUCUUACUCACAUACCAAAUAUACACUUAUAUUUAAUGAUGAUGACUAUCUCUUUUAGUCUUCUGUCUCCAGAUUGUCCAUUCUCACGAUCACCUUGUUAACGCCUCCCCAGACAAGUUUACUUUUCAGUUAUCUUUUGUGAAAGGGGCUAGCCAAAAUUUCAUAGUAUUCCACAUGAGAUCUAUUCAGAGCUACCACUAAUGGUAUGAAUUCCCUAUCUUUGUGGAAAAUACUUCACAUUUUGUUGCCUUUUAUUUUCCACGGCUGCAACUUGGACAAGUUUACAGAAGUGCUUAGCAAAUGGUAUCCCAGGUCACAUCUUCAUCUCAAAAUGUUCAGAGAAGCUCUGUAAUUAUCUCCCUCCAAACUAGUGACUCCUCUUGAACACUACCUGGUAUCACCACUCUUCAUCAAUUCCUUCACCUGUCUUACAGUUUCCCUACCAACAUCAUUCUUCUUUAGUCUAUUAUUAUUUCCUGUCCAUCAGACUGGAUGCCUUAUUGAAGUUUAGAAGGAUCGUAUCUCCAGAAUUUCCUUUGUCUUGAAAUAAAAGACAAGUAAAAGGUGGGUAUAUGUUAUCCUUUGAAUAGAUUAUGUGUUUUUAUCUAUUUGACAUUUGCCCCUAUUUUUUAGGAAUUGUUAUUUCCUUCAAAAUUAGGUGUAAUGGCUUCUACAAAAAGAAGUUAAAAUAAAAGGUCCCCAAAUG